rnacentral:rRNA from 1 species
AUUGAACGCUGGCGGAAUGCUUUACACAUGCAAGUCGAACGGCAGCACGGACUUCGGUCUGGUGGCGAGUGGCGAACGGGUGAGUAAUAUAUCGGAACGUGCCCAGUAGGGGGGGAUAACGGAGCGAAAGCUACGCUAAUACCGCAUACGAUCUACGGAUGAAAGCGGGGGAUCGCAAGACCUCGCGCGCGUGGAGCUGCCGAUAUCGGAUUAGGGAGUUGGUGAGGUAAAGGCCCACCAAGCCGACGAUCUGUAGCUGGUCGUAGAGGACGACCAGCCACACUGGGACUGAGACACGGCCCAGACUCCUACGGGAGGCAGCAGUGGGGAAUUUUGGACAAUGGACGCAAGUCUGAUCCAGCCAUUCCGCGUGCAGGACGAAGGCCUUCGGGUUGUAAACUGCUUUUGUACAGAACGAAAAGGUCUCUAUUAAUACUAGGGGCUCAUGACGGUACUGUAAGAAUAAGCACCGGCUAACUACGUGCCAGCAGCCGCGGUAA